GCGGAGAAAAUCGAAAAAAAAAGUAAAGAAAGGAAAGAGAAAAGGAAGGUCAAUCUAAAAGCAAGGGGAAGUCCUAGAAAUCACGAAGAUAAGGAAGGUGAUCCCCUUCAAUGGAGCUCUUAACACCCAUGGAUUCUUAGAGUUGCAGGAGACCCAAAUGAAGGAGGACAGUGACCUUUAUACAGAACCCACCGACGGCUG
rnacentral:lncRNA from 1 species